rnacentral:lncRNA from 1 species
CACACCUGGCUAAUUUUUUAAUUUUUUGUAGAGAUGAGGUCUCACUUUGUUGCCCAGGCUGGUCUUGAACUCCUGGCCUCAAGCCAUCCGCCUGCCUUGAACUCCCAAAGUGCUGGAAUUACAGGCGUGAACCACCGUGCCUGGCCCAAAGCUUCACUUUUCAAUGUCUUCUGGAAUCUGAACUCUCACUGAAGAGUAGACAGGAGUUUGAUGUUUUAAUCUAUUAAAACUUCUUUGUACAUGCCUUCUAAGAACAGAUUAUAUUCAAUGCAAUUUUUUCUGAAAAGAUGAAGUACAUUUCUUUGUAAAAUUCAUGUAUGUAUUUAUUUAUUUAUUACUGUACAUAUUUAUGGGGUACAUUUGAUAUUUUGCUGCAUGGAUACAACAUGUAAUGAUCAAAUCAGGGUAAUUAGGAUAUCCAUUACCCCAAACAUUUAUCUCACAUGUAAGAUUUUAUUAAUAAUG